GGAUGCGAUCAUACCAGCACUAAAGCACCGGAUCCCUUCAGAACUCCGAAGUUAAGCGUGCUUGGGCGAGAAUAGUACUAGGUUGGGUGACCUCCUGGGAAGUCCUCGUGUUGUAUUCC
rnacentral:rRNA from 1 species